rnacentral:rRNA from 1 species
GUUUCCGUAGGUGAACCUGCGGAAGGAUCAUUAACGAACUCUCGAGGGACGCAGUUGCUGCUGGGCUUCUUGGAAGUCAACGUGCACACGGUCUCUCUUCUCGUUCAACCAAUCUACCCCUAUCUGUGCACCCCUCGUGAGCUGAGAACUCUCUCGGCUUAUGUCUUUUCCACAAAGCAUCUUAUCAAAUCAGUGAAUGAGCAGCCGUCUGAGCUUCGUCUCGACGUUAACAGUAACACACAACUUUCAACAACGGAUCUCUUGGCUCUCGCAUCGAUGAAGAACGCAGCGAAAUGCGAUAAGUAAUGUGAAUUGCAGAAUUCAGUGAAUCAUCGAAUCUUUGAACGCACCUUGCGCCCCUUGGUACUCCGAGGGGCAUGCCUGUUUGAGUGUCAUCAGACCAUCAACCCGAAGGGCUUUCGAGGCUCAUCGGAGUUUGGAGCUUGCGGCGUGCGGGGGAGGCUCUCGCCGGCCUCCGCUCCUCGCGGAAUACAUCAGCGGAUGUCCACCAGCGGACCGACCCUUGGCGUGAUAAACAUCUACGUCUUGGCUCUGGCCCCGCGUCUCUUGGUUCUGCUUCGAACUGUCGGGCCAUGCUGUCCGACAACCCAUUGACGACUUUGACCUCAAAUCAGG